UCGCCCCUCAUUUCAUCUCACAUCAAAUGAAACGUGGGCUGUGGGAGCGUGGGGAAGACCUGCGGCCGUAAUUAGAGAGGAGCUGGGGCGCAGGGUGGCCCUUCGGAGGCGGCUGGCUGCCGGGGGAAGGCAGUGGCAGGCUCUGCUGCUUGCUUGCCGGGCAACUGGAAACCGGGGCCGAAAUCGUUUGGAGACGAUCCCCUCUGAAAACUGGGAAUAGCAGUAACCGUGGGAGAAGGAUGGAAGGCCGCUGGCGAACUCGGCUCCCUCUCCCUUCCAGGUCUGACCAUCUGCCGAGCACGGCCGGGAGCUGCAAACAGAAAACAGCACUGAAGGCAGCACCACCCUGGAGUCCUCCCAGCCAUGAGGCCAGUCAGGAUUUUCUUUGCUGCUCGUGACUACUUUUAUGAUCGGGGAAUAAAACCGGCAAAAAAAAAACCCCAAACCAAUCAACCCUAGAAAACGGUGGGAGCUGAGCUUCCAGGACCCCAUGCCGAGCAGGAUCCUUGACCUAGCGAUGCCCAGAGAACCGGACUUACUGAGACAGCCCCCAGCACCCGGGAUUUCCUGUCCAGAGGCCCGGACCCCGCGCAGAGAAGGAGACAUCGGGAGCCACACAGGACGUCAGCAGGCGGGAGGAGGCAGGGGGCGUGUGAGAACGCAGACCCAGCACAAUUUUUCAAACUUAAAAAACAGCAAAUGGGUCCCAGGAUGGAGAGACCGGGGACACGGUCCCUGGAGGCUCCCUCAGGCCCCACCUCCCCUUCCCCUCUCCAACCCCAACCAAGAAGCCUGUGGGACCAGAGCUCCUUGCGAUAUCCCUGUGGGCACGUAUUACAAUGUCUUGUCUACUCCGUGUCCUAGCUGAAGGUCUGAGGCUCAGAGAGGUCAACCGACUUGCCUGAGGCCACACAGCUGGUAAGAGACAGAGCAAGAAAUGGGACAGGCCUUCUGAUCGGACCCUGGAGUACUUUACCCCACACACAGCUGGCCCAUGAACCGAGCGCUGGCAUCGGAAAGAAAACCUGGGUCUGAAUCCCAGUAGAGUCACUCAGUGGCUGUGCCGUCUUGCCAGUUAACCCCUAGGAGCCCAGGUUUCAUGUGUAAACUGGAGACAAACCUAAUACUGACCCAACGGGUAAAAUGCUAGUGCCUGGCCCCCUGUAAGCACAUAAGAAAGAUUAUUAUUAUUGUUGUUGUUUGUCACCAUCAUCUGCCCUGGAGUAAAGUCCUUCUCUGGUCUCGGGAGGUGACCCCAGCGCACUGUCCCCCUCCUAACACCCUCGCAGGGCAGAGAAAGGGUGUCGUCUCGUCUGUGCCCCAGCCCAGCAGGGAGCGGGUGCUGGACAGUGGGCCUUGGAGCGAAGAGGCCUGGAUGCCAUCGCGAGAGGAGCCAGCUCGGCUCAGACACUCGGCAGUGUGUCCAAAUCCCGCUUUCUGGCUGAACGGAGCCAGUUUCUGGCCAACUGUGCUCAGUUCACGUCUAAUUCCAAACAGAUGGGUCUGUGCCCCACCCCCACCCCGCUCGGCAGCUCCCUGCCUGCUCCAGGGGCCCCAGAAAGCCAAGCGGGGCCCCCUGCCUUCUGACCAGACCACAGCGGAGCUGCGUGGCCUGCUGUGGGGAGGCGGGUCACAGCCCGUCAUCCGGGGGUUGUUCCGCCUCCAAACACCACAGAGGCAGAGACAGUGAGGCCCAGGCCCACAUUAGCCACACACACAGACCCGGCCCCAUCCCUGUGCACGCCUUGGUCACAGCACACAUCUCACAGCGACAAGCACAUAGGUGCGCGGCUGUGCCUCCCUCCAGGCCGAGAAGCUGUAAAGCCUAGUGGUUAGGCAUGUGGCCUAUGGGGUCAAGUUGCCUGAGUCUGAAUCCAGCUCUGCCAAAUCAUUGCUGGGCACCCUUGGGCAAGUCUCUUAACCUCUCUGCACCUUUUGUUCCCCCCUCUUCUGUAAAGCGAGGAUGGUGAUGCUAAAACCAGCGCCUACCUCAAAGGGGCACUGAAAGGAUGGAUGAGGAGUCGAGGUGAAGCACUUAGAAGAGCACGUUGUAGAUGGAAGGAGCCGAUGGAGACCAGGACGGCAUGGCCAGCAACCUCUCCCACUCUGUGUCAAAUGCACAGUCAACUCUUAGGGGAUUCCCAGGAUCUCCCAGGGCCCACUGUGGGGUCAGCACUCUCCUCAGGUAUCAGAUUUACGACUGCUCAAAAAUACCCAUUGUUAACGAGGAUUGAAGGAGUUAGUAUCAUGCCAAUUUUUCAGAUGAAAAUCUGAAACAGAGAGGUUGAGAACUUGUCCAAGAUCACCCAGCCUGUAAGUGGGAGAGCCAGGAAACAACCCCAGGCACUGAGCCCAGGCCAGAGCUCUUAGUCACCAGGCAACCCUCCUAGCUCCCGGUGACACAACUAGUCUGCGGGUGAGCGGUCCCUGCCACUUCUUUCAGUUCUCACCAAGGGGGCCUCGCGUUGGAAGGCUGGCUGGGGUUCCGUGGUGGCUGCAUCAUUCUGGCAGCUCCUGAGCUGGGGACCCCCACCCCCACCCUGUCCCCUGCAGACAUGAGAGCUCUCCCCAGCCCUGGAGCCUCACCCUCUGC